UACGGGGGGGGCAAGCGUUGUUCGGAAUUACUGGGCGUAAAGGGCUUGUAGGCGGCCAACUAAGUCAGACGUGAAAUCCCUCGGCUUAACCGGGGAACUGCGUCUGAUACUGGAUGGCUUGAGUUUGGGAGAGGGAUGCGGAAUUCCAGGUGUAGCGGUGAAAUGCGUAGAUAUCUGGAGGAACACCGGUGGCGAAGGCGACAUCCUGGACCAACACUGACGCUGAGGAGCGAAAGCCAGGGGAGCAAACGGG
rnacentral:rRNA from 1 species